AAAACAAAGCAGAAGCACCCGCUUCUCGCCUAAGUUGACGUUAGAGUCGCUGGGCUAGAUAAUAUAAACGAAGAAUUCUUAUGCUUUAUGCAUAUGUUCGGAUAUUUAUAGGCGGGUUCAGUCGAACUCGUCUAUUUUUCUGCUG
rnacentral:sRNA from 1 species